AAUAUAAUUCAAUUUACUGAACCUGUAAAAUGUUUUUAAAAGAAAUAUUAAUUCUCUGUCUUGCUUUGGGUAGUAUCAAAUCAGCAGUAUUUGAUGAUAAUGGCUCCAAAUCAUAUUUCGCUAGAUUUAUACCUAUAGGCAACGAUACUAGAAUUGUAGGUGGAGAUCCUGUAUAUAUUUCGUCGUAUAGGUAUCAAGGUUCCCUCUAACGUUGGCAUAGGCAUAUCUGCGGAGUAGCUUUGCUGUCAAGUGUAUGGGUUUUGACAGCUGCUCAUUGUACACAAUCGCUUACCGUUCCUCCACCACGAUAUGCUUUUACAGUGUGAUUUGGUUCAACGUUUAUGCAGAAUGAAGGUUUCGUUUUUCCAAUUGCCGAAAUCAUAGACCAUCCUGACUAUAGUGCAUUUAUGUUCAAUCUUGAUGCAAUCAAGUAACAUUUGGUGACACUAUUGGACCCAUUCCAUUACCAACAAGAGAUCAGCAAUUGAUACCCGGUUCCGUCUGCACUGUAACUGGCUGGGGCACUUUAACAUCUGGUGGCGUCACUCCAUUUGGAUUGCAAAUGGUUCAGGUACCCCUAAUAAGCAAUGAAAGCUGUGAUCAGUAUUAUACAAAUCUUAUAGGAAGUAAGUAAAAUCAUCUCAUCAUCAUUAUAUUCAUUUUCAGCUUCAUUCAACCGUUGAUUGCCCCUUGAUUUAUUCUUCCGUUGUUCAUUGAAAUAUUUUACCCAAGAAGGUCUUAACUUCCGCUCUAUAUAUUAGUAAAACCCUUUGACUACAUAACCCCUACGGUAAAACCCUAAUAUACGAGAUGGCAAUAUUUACAUCGAUACGGGAAUUUAUAAAAGUGUUAUUUACAGAUAGUAGGUAACAAUCCAAACAUGAAAUAAUCUAAUAUAACCCUAACCUUCUUACACUAAUAAACUAAUAACUUAUUUUGCCAGGUAGUCUAAUAACAGCCAAUAUGAUGUGUGCCGGCGGUCUAAAGGAAG